rnacentral:rRNA from 1 species
UGGGGAAUUUUGGGCAAUGGGGGAAACCCUGACCCAGCAACGCCGCGUGAAGGAUGAAGUAUUUCGGUAUGUAAACUUCGAAAGAAUAGGAAGAAUAAAUGACGGUACUAUUUAUAAGGUCCGGCUAACUACGUGCCAGCAGCCGCGGUAAUACGUAGGGACCAAGCGUUGUUCGGAUUUACUGAGCGUAAAGGGCGCGUAGGCGGCAUGACAAGUCACUUGUGAAAUCUCUGGGCUUAACCCAGAACGGCCAAGUGAUACUGUCGCGCUAGAGUGCAGAAGGGGCAAUCGGAAUUCUUGGUGUAGCGGUGAAAUGCGUAGAUAUCAAGAGGAACACCUGAGGUGAAGACGGGUUGCUGGGCUGACACUGACGCUGAGGCGCGAAAGCC